AGCCUUUGGUGAGUUCUGCUACGGCCCACCUUUCUGCCGGGGACGUGCUCCUGGGCUUAACUGUCCCGGACACGGAAUCGGCGAGGUUACUUUGAGUAAAUUAGAGUGUUCAAAGCAAGCCUACGCUCUGAAUACAUUAGCAUGGAAUAACACGAUAGGACUCUGGCUUAUCUUGUUGGUCUGUAAGACCGGAGUAAUGAUUAAGAGGGACAGUCGGGGGCAUUCGUAUUUCAUUGUCAGAGGUGAAAUUCUUGGAUUUAUGAAAGACGAACUUCUGCGAAAGCAUUUGCCAAGGAUGUUUUCAUUAAUCAAGAACGAAAGAAGGGGGCUCGAAGACGAUUAGAUACCGUCGUAGUCUCAACCAUAAACGAUGCCGACUAGGGAUUGGCAGGUGUUUCGUUGAUGACCCUGCCAGCACCUUAUGAGAAAUCAAAGUUUUUGGGUUCCGGGGGGAGUAUGGUCGCAAGGCUGAAACUUAUAGGAAUUGACGGAAGGGCACCACCAGGCGUUAACAAAAGCAGAAGCUCAGCGCCUAAGAGUCGAUGGGAAACCAUUGGCUAGUGCUUGGGUGUGUGUGUUACACAACACACUCGAGUGCAACACUGUUCAAAUUGCGGGGAAGCCCUAAAGCUUUGCUAACCAAGCUCUGUGUGAAAGCAC
rnacentral:rRNA from 1 species